rnacentral:rRNA from 1 species
GGGGACCUACCUCUUAGUGGGGGAUAACGGUUGGAAACGACCGCUAAUACCGCAUACGCCCUUCGGGGGAAAGAUUUAUCGCUAAGAGAUGGACCCGCGUUGGAUUAGAUAGUUGGUGAGGUAACGGCUCACCAAGUCAGCGAUCCAUAGCUGGUUUGAGAGGAUGAUCAGCCACACUGGGACUGAGACACGGCCCAGACUCCUACGGGAGGCAGCAGUGGGGAAUAUUGGACAAUGGGGGCAACCCUGAUCCAGCCAUGCCGCGUGAGUGAAGAAGGCCUUCGGGUUGUAAAGCUCUUUCAGAUGCGAAGAUGAUGACGGUAACAUCAGAAGAAGCCCCGGCUAAUUUCGUGCCAGCAGCCGCGGUAAUACGAAAGGGGCUAGCGUUGUUCGGAUUUACUGG